AGAGUUUGAUCCUGGCUCAGAUUGAACGCUGGCGGCAGGCCUAACACAUGCAAGUCGAGCGGUAGAGAGGAGCUUGCUCCUCUUGAGAGCGGCGGACGGGUGAGUAAUGCCUAGGAAUCUGCCUGGUAGUGGGGGAUAACGUUCGGAAACGGACGCUAAUACCGCAUACGUCCUACGGGAGAAAGCAGGGGACCUUCGGGCCUUGCGCUAUCAGAUGAGCCUAGGUCGGAUUAGCUAGUUGGUGAGGUAAUGGCUCACCAAGGCGACGAUCCGUAACUGGUCUGAGAGGAUGAUCAGUCACACUGGAACUGAGACACGGUCCAGACUCCUACGGGAGGCAGCAGUGGGGAAUAUUGGACAAUGGGCGAAAGCCUGAUCCAGCCAUGCCGCGUGUGUGAAGAAGGUCUUCGGAUUGUAAAGCACUUUAAGUUGGGAGGAAGGGCAGUAAAUUAAUACUUUGCUGUUUUGACGUUACCGACAGAAUAAGCACCGGCUAACUCUGUGCCAGCAGCCGCGGUAAUACAGAGGGUGCAAGCGUUAAUCGGAAUUACUGGGCGUAAAGCGCGCGUAGGUGGUUUGUUAAGUUGGAUGUGAAAUCCCCGGGCUCAACCUGGGAACUGCAUUCAAAACUGACUGACUAGAGUAUGGUAGAGGGUGGUGGAAUUUCCUGUGUAGCGGUGAAAUGCGUAGAUAUAGGAAGGAACACCAGUGGCGAAGGCGACCACCUGGACUAAUACUGACACUGAGGUGCGAAAGCGUGGGGAGCAAACAGGAUUAGAUACCCUGGUAGUCCACGCCGUAAACGAUGUCAACUAGCCGUUGGAAGCCUUGAGCUUUUAGUGGCGCAGCUAACGCAUUAAGUUGACCGCCUGGGGAGUACGGCCGCAAGGUUAAAACUCAAAUGAAUUGACGGGGGCCCGCACAAGCGGUGGAACAUGUGGUUUAAUUCGAAGCAACGCG
rnacentral:rRNA from 1 species